rnacentral:rRNA from 1 species
GAUAAACGCUGGCGGCGUGCCUAAUACAUGCAAGUCGAGCGAACGGACGAGAAGCUUGCUUCUCUGAUGUUAGCGGCGGACGGGUGAGUAACACGUGGAUAACCUACCUAUAAGACUGGGAUAACUUCGGGAAACCGGAGCUAAUACCGGAUAAUAUUUUGAACCGCAUGGUUCAAAAGUGAAAGACGGUCUUGCUGUCACUUAUAGAUGGAUCCGCGCUGCAUUAGCUAGUUGGUAAGGUAACGGCUUACCAAGGCAACGAUGCAUAGCCGACCUGAGAGGGUGAUCGGCCACACUGGAACUGAGACACGGUCCAGACUCCUACGGGAGGCAGCAGUAGGGAAUCUUCCGCAAUGGGCGAAAGCCUGACGGAGCAACGCCGCGUGAGUGAUGAAGGUCUUCGGAUCGUAAAACUCUGUUAUUAGGGAAGAACAUAUGUGUAAGUAACUGUGCACAUCUUGACGGUACCUAAUCAGAAAGCCACGGCUAACUACGUGCCAGCAGCCGCGGUAAUACGUAGGUGGCAAGCGUUAUCCGGAAUUAUUGGGCGUAAAGCGCGCGUAGGCGGUUUUUUAAGUCUGAUGUGAAAGCCCACGGCUCAACCGUGGAGGGUCAUUGGAAACUGGAAAACUUGAGUGCAGAAGAGGAAAGUGGAAUUCCAUGUGUAGCGGUGAAAUGCGCAGAGAUAUGGAGGAACACCAGUGGCGAAGGCGACUUUCUGGUCUGUAACUGACGCUGAUGUGCGAAAGCGUGGGGAUCAAACAGGAUUAGAUACCCUGGUAGUCCACGCCGUAAACGAUGAGUGCUAAGUGUUAGGGGGUUUCCGCCCCUUAGUGCUGCAGCUAACGCAUUAAGCACUCCGCCUGGGGAGUACGACCGCAAGGUUGAAACUCAAAGGAAUUGACGGGGACCCGCACAAGCGGUGGAGCAUGUGGUUUAACUCGAAGCAACGCGAAGAACCUUACCAAAUCUUGACAUCCUUUGACAACUCUAGAGAUAGAGCCUUCCCCUUCGGGGGACAAAGUGACAGGUGGUGCAUGGUUGUCGUCAGCUCGUGUCGUGAGAUGUUGGGUUAAGUCCCGCAACGAGCGCAACCCUUAAGCUUAGUUGCCAUCAUUAAGUUGGGCACUCUAAGUUGACUGCCGGUGACAAACCGGAGGAAGGUGGGGAUGACGUCAAAUCAUCAUGCCCCUUAUGAUUUGGGCUACACACGUGCUACAAUGGACAAUACAAAGGGCAGCGAAACCGCGAGGUCAAGCAAAUCCCAUAAAGUUGUUCUCAGCUCGGAUUGUAGUCUGCAACUCGACUACAUGAAGCUGGAAUCGCUAGUAAUCGUAGAUCAGCAUGCUACGGUGAAUACGUUCCCGGGUCU